GCCGACUUAGUAUAUUUGUAUAGUGCAUGGGAUUGUAGCUCCCGGGGAAGAAAUUAUUCUGGUCGGAG
rnacentral:tRNA from 1 species